rnacentral:rRNA from 1 species
GAUGAACGCUAGCGGGAGGCUUAACACAUGCAAGUCGAGGGGUAACAUGGAGUAGCAAUACUUUGAUGACGACCGGCGUACGGGUGAGUAACGCGUAUGCAACCUACCCUGUACAGGGGGAUAGCCCGGAGAAAUUCGGAUUAAUACCCCAUAAAGAUAUCUUAAGGCAUCUUUAGAUAUUUAAAGUUUCGGCGGUACGGGAUGGGCAUGCGUAACAUUAGCUGGUUGGUAGGGUAACGGCCUACCAAGGCGACGAUGUUUAGGGGUCCUGAGAGGGUGAUCCCCCA